GGAGGUUUAGCUCAGCCGGGAGAGCAUCUGCUUUACAAGCAGAGGGUCGGCGGUUCGAUCCCGUCAAUCUCCACCA
rnacentral:tRNA from 1 species